UUAGUUGUUUAUCUCCCUCCAUAUUCUCCAUUCCUCAAUCCUAUUGAGGAAUUUUUUUCUGCCUGGAGAUGGAAAGUGUAUGACAGAAAUCCACAAACGCGUAUAUAGCAGCUGAUGCUUUUCAUGGCUGGAAUCGCCAUGCUAGGCGAUAUUUCCCCCGCUGCUUGGCCAGGGAAAACAUUGCUUGUGAUGUGGACGAGGUGCUGUGGCCAGACCGAAACAGAAGAGAGGAUGCAACAUAGGUUUUUUUUUUAUUUUUUUUAUUACGGUAUUAUUUUAUGUAACUGUAUACAGUAAAUUCUUCUGUUGUUUUGUAUGUAGACCACUGUAUGUGCAACUUUGUGUUGGUUUGGAAUGGGAUGUACACGGGUUACAUUGUUUUUGUGGGAAAAAUAAAAUAUAUUUGUUACCGUG